rnacentral:misc_RNA from 1 species
GAUGAAGAACGCAGCGAAAUGCGAUAAGUAAUGUGAAUUGCAGAAUUCAGUGAAUCAUCGAAUCUUUGAACGCACAUUGCACCCGCCAGUAUUCUGGCGGGCAUGCCUGUUCGAGCGUCAUUUCAACCAUCAAGCCCCCGGCUUGUGUUGGGGACCUGCGGCUGCCGCAGGCCCCGAAAAGCAGUGGCGGGCUCGCUGUCACACCGAGCGUAGUAGCAUACAUCUCGCUCUGGGCGUGCUGCGGGUUCCGGCCGUUAAACCACCUUCAUAACCCAAGGUUGACCUCGGAUCAGGUAGGAAGACCCGCUGAACUUAAGCAUAUCAAUAAGCGGAGGA